rnacentral:tRNA from 1 species
AGCGCGAUGGAGCAGCUCGGUCAGCUCGCAGGGCUCAUAAUCCUGAGGUCGCAGGUUCAAAUCCUGCUCGCGCCA